UACGUAGGGGGCGAGCGUUGUCCGAAGUUACUGGGCGUAAAGCGCGCGUAGGCGGUUUCUUAAGUCUGGGGUGAAAGGUUCAGCGCUCAACGCGAACAGUGCCUUGGAUACUGGGAGACUUGAGUCUGGGAGGGGGCAGUGGAAUUCCUGGUGUAGCGGUGAAAUGCGUAGAUAUCAGGAGGAACACCGGUGGCGAAGGCGGAUCUCUGGGCCUUACCUGACGCUCAGGUGCGAAAGCUAGGGGAGUGAACAGG
rnacentral:rRNA from 1 species